rnacentral:rRNA from 1 species
AAUCAACGCUGGCGGCGCGCUUAACACAUGCAAGUCGCACGAGAAAGCAGUAGCAAUACUGUGAGUAAAGUGGCGUACGGGUGAGUAACACGUGGAUCAUCUACCUUCUAGUGGGGAAUACCUCCGGGAAACUGGAGACAAUACCGCAUAAGCUCGUAAGAGGAAAGCAGCAAUGCGCUGGAAGAGGAGUCCGCGGCUGAUUAGCUUGUUGGCGGGGUAACGGCCCACCAAGGCGAAGAUCGGUAGCCGGCCUGAGAGGGCACACGGCCACACUGGCACUGAAACACGGGCCAGACUCCUACGGGAGGCAGCAGUGGGGAAUCUUGCACAAUGGAGGAAACUCUGAUGCAGCGACGCCGCGUGAGCGAUGAAGCCCUUCGGGGUGUAAAGCUCCUUCGACGGGAACGAUAAUGACGGUACCCGAAGAAGAAGCUGCGGCUAACUACGUGC